UUUUUUUCCAGGAACAGGUUCUGAUCUCUUCUAGAAAUGGACCCAGCUGGAGAUGAGCAUCAAACUCGAUUUUAAACCCAAAAAACAAGGUUCAAAGGUGGUUUAAAAAACUUGAUCUCAAACAAAAAACAACGUUCAAAAGGUGCUUUCAAAAACUUAAUCUCAAAAAGGUUCAAAAGGUGCUUUCAAAAACCUGUUCUCAGACGAAUAACAAGGUUCAAAAGGUGCUUUCAAAAACUUAAUCUCAAACAAGGUUCAAAAGGUGGUUUAAAAAACUUAAUCUCA